UCGUAACAAGGUUUCCGUAGGUGAACCUGCGGAAGGAUCAUUAAUUAUGUUAAAGCGCCUUACCUCUUAGGGUUUCCUCUGGGGUAAGUGAUUGCUUCUACACUGUGAAAAUUUGGCUGAGAGACUCAGACUGGUCAUGGGUAGACCUAUCUGGGGUUUGAUCGAUGCCACUCCUGGUUUCAGGAGCACCCUUCAUAAUAAACCUAGAAAUUCAGUAUUAUAAAGUUUAAUAAAAAACAACUUUUAACAAUGGAUCUCUUGGUUCUCGCAUCGAUGAAGAACGUAGCAAAGUGCGAUAACUAGUGUGAAUUGCAUAUUCAGUGAAUCAUCGAGUCUUUGAACGCAGCUUGCACUCUAUGGUUUUUCUAUAGAGUACGCCUGCUUCAGUAUCAUCACAAACCCACACAUAACAUUUGUUUAUGUGGUAAUGGGUCGCAUCGCUGUUUUAUUACAGUGAGCACCUAAAAUGUGUGUGAUUUUCUGUCUGGCUUGCUAGGCAGGAAUAUUACGCUGGUCUCAGGAUCUUUUUCUUUGGUUCGCCCAGGAAGUAAAGUACAAGAGUAUAAUCCAGCAACUUUCAAACUAUGAUCUGAAGUCAGGUGGGAUUACCCGCUGAACCUAAGCAUAUCAAU
rnacentral:misc_RNA from 1 species